rnacentral:rRNA from 1 species
CAAUAGCGUAUAUUUAAGUUGUUGCAGUUAAAAAGCUCGUAGUUGGAUUUCGGAUGGGAUCUGCCGGUCCGCCUUUGAGGUGUGUACUGGUAGGUCCUAUCUUGUUGUCGGGGACCAGCUCCUGGGCUUCACUGUCCGGGACUGGGAGCCGGCGAAGUUACUUUGAGUAAAUUAGAGUGUUCAAAGCAAGCUAUGCUUGAAUAUUACAGCAUGGAAUAAUGGAAUAGGACUUGUCCUUUUCGUUGGUUAAAUGGAUAAGUAAUGAUUAACAGGGACAGUUGGGGGCAUUCGUAUUGGGCAGUCAGAGGUGAAAUUCUUUAAUUUGCUCAAGACGCACUAAUGCGAAAGCAUUUGCCAAGGAUGUUUUCAUUAA